CUCCCAUUUGAAAGGCAGGGAUGACAAACAACUCACCUUGUUCCCGGUGAAGUCUCGGAGCUGUAGACCAUGUUCUUACUUAGCAGAGGGAUGGUUGUAUGAAAGAAAACAGGGAAAGCAGACAAAAAGAAAAAAGAAGUUGCAGAGGGUCAAAAGGAAGAGUCAGGAAGAAGAAUCCAAUUAUCCAGAGUUUAUUCAGAGAUAUCCAUAUGCAUUUUUUCCUGAUGUUCAUUCUUUACUACAAAUUUAAUUAUAUUCAUAUUAUUUAAUAAUUUAUAUUUAAAAAUGCAAGUAAUUUCUUCUAUGUAGGAAUAAAUGUUCAGAAUAAUGCU